GGGUUCCUGAGAUGUACGAGAGCCGCCUUUUAUCUUUGAGCCACUCUUUUUUGAUAGGGAGUUUGACGUUCCAACUAGUAGUACAUGCCUCGUAACACAGCAGGAGGACGUACGAAUAGGAAUCGGAUAAGACACCCACCUGCGCAGCAGGUUCAAAAAUAAGGUAUCGACACGGCACUUCGGGUCCCAU
rfam:Exiguobacterium sibiricum 255-15, complete genome.